rnacentral:rRNA from 1 species
UAAUACAUGCAAGUCGAACGCGCAGCGAAAGGUGCUUGCACCUUUCAAGCGAGUGGCGAACGGGUGAGUAACACGUGGAUAACCUGCCUCAAGGCUGGGGAUAACAUUUGGAAACAGAUGCUAAUACCGAAUAAAACUUAGUAUCGCAUGAUACAAAGUUGAAAGGCGCUACGGCGUCACCUAGAGAUGGGUCCGCGGUGCAUUAGUUAGUUGGUGGGGUAAAGGCCUACCAAGACAAUGAUGCAUAGCCGAGUUGAGAGACUGAUCGGCCACAUUGGGACUGAGACACGGCCCAAACUCCUACGGGAGGCUGCAGUAGGGAAUCUUCCACAAUGGGCGAAAGCCUGAUGGAGCAACGCCGCGUGUGUGAUGAAGGCUUUAGGGUCGUAAAGCACUGUUGUAUGGGAAGAAAUGCUAGAAUAGGGAAUGAUUCUAGUUCGACGGUACCAUACCAGAAAGGGACGGCUAAAUACGUGCCAGCAGCCGCGGUAAUACGUAUGUCCCGAGCGUUAUCCGGAUUUAUUGGGCGUAAAGCGAGCGCAGACGGUUGAUUAAGUCUGAUGUGAAAGCCCGGAGCUCAACUCCGGAAUGGCAUUGGAAACUGGUUAACUUGAGUGUUGUAGAGGUAAGUGGAACUCCAUGUGUAGCGGUGGAAUGCGUAGAUAUAUGGAAGAACACCAGUGGCGAAGGCGGCUUACUG